rnacentral:rRNA from 1 species
CCUACGGGAGGCAGCAGUGGGGAAUAUUGGUCAAUGGACGCAAGUCUGACCCAGCAACGCCGCGUGAAGGAAGACGGCUUUCGGGUUGUAAACUUCUUUUUAGGAAGGAGAGCAGAAGACGGUACCCCUUUAAUAAGCCACGUCUAACUACGUGCCAGCAGCCGCGGUCAUACGUAGGUGGCAAGCGUUGUCCGGAUUUACUGGGUGUAACGGGCGUGCAGCUGGAGAGACAAGUCAGAUGUGAAAUCCACGGGCUCAACCCGUGAACUGCAUUUGAAACUGUUUCCCUUGAGUGUCGGAGAGGUAAUCGGAAUUCCUGGUGUAGCGGUGAAAUGCGUAGAUAUAAGGAAGAACACCAGUGGCGAAGGCGGAUUACUGGACGAUAACUGACGGUGAGGCGCGAAAGCGUGGGGAGCAAACAGGAUUAGAUACCCGGGUAGUC